GCCCUCGUAGCUCAGCCGGUUUAGAGCAUCGUGCUUAUAGUAAUCCGAAAGGGUAACUAUGCUUUAGUCACGCGAAGGUCGCGAGUUCGAUCCUCGCCUAGGGCA
rfam:Saitoella complicata NRRL Y-17804 DNA, contig: contig015, whole genome shotgun sequence.